ACUGAGUGCUCGGAUCCAGACCAGCAUAUGGAGCUGGUGAUCUUAUCUUGGGUUUCGUGAUGACUGUUUUCCACGUCUCCACCUUCUUCCCCAUGGCUGCACUGCACAUUUACUGUGGAUCUACACUAAGAUCUCCUCCAAAGGACAGGUAAAUGCGUGAUCACCUGAUCCCUCACCAAAGAGUAUGAGACAGAAAGAAUGGCAAGUGUUCUCUGGGAGCUGCCAAUGACCUGGUACCACACGAUUUUUU
rnacentral:lncRNA from 1 species